GAUCCUGGCUCAGGACGAACGCUGGCGGCGUGCUUAACACAUGCAAGUCGAACGGAAAGGCCUCUUCGGAGGUACUCGAGUGGCGAACGGGUGAGUAACACGUGGGUAAUCUGCCCUGCACUUCGGGAUAAGCCUGGGAAACUGGGUCUAAUACCGGAUAUGACCUUUUGGCGCAUGCCUUUUGGUGGAAAGCUUUUGCGGUGUGGGAUGGGCCCGCGGCCUAUCAGCUUGUUGGUGGGGUGAUGGCCUACCAAGGCGACGACGGGUAGCCGGCCUGAGAGGGUGUCCGGCCACACUGGGACUGAGAUACGGCCCAGACUCCUACGGGAGGCAGCAGUGGGGAAUAUUGCACAAUGGGCGCAAGCCUGAUGCAGCGACGCCGCGUGGGGGAUGACGGCCUUCGGGUUGUAAACCUCUUUCAGCAGGGACGAAGCGCAAGUGACGGUACCUGCAGAAGAAGCACCGGCCAACUACGUGCCAGCA
rnacentral:rRNA from 1 species